UACAGAGGGUGCAAGCGUUAAUCGGAAUUACUGGGCGUAAAGCGUGCGCAGGCGGUUUCUUAAGUCAGAUGUGAAAGCCCCGGGCUUAACCUGGGAACUGCGUUUGAAACUGGGAGACUUGAGUGUGGCAGAGGGGGGUGGAAUUCCACGUGUAGCAGUGAAAUGCGUAGAUAUGUGGAGGAACACCGGUGGCGAAGGCGGCUAUCUGGCCCAACAUUGACACUGAAGCACGAAAGCGUGGGGAUCAAACAGG
rnacentral:rRNA from 1 species